UAGAAUUAUAUACAUUAUUAUUAUUAUUAUUAUAAACAUUAUUAUGAUAAUGUAUAUGACAUGUAACGUGCUCUUCCUAAACGUAAAAAAAAGCUUUCACAAACACUGGCACAAAAACUCCCUUUCCCUUGCGGCUUUGCGGCGCACCCUCGCACUCCGCGCCUACCCUCUUGUCUCUACGAGCUGCUAGCCUUCGGUGUAUGUUGUUGUAGAAGCGAUGAUGGCGGCAGCGGGAUGCGGAUCAGCAACCGCGGCUGCCGUAGGAGGCCAGGGCGGCACUGUUACUGCGAGGGGACGUUUUCCCGGUCGGCCGUGGUCGUCUCGCAGUCGUUUGCGCUCAGAGAAGCGAUGGCAGCUUGGGCGAUCAGGCUUAGAAGCUGAUGAUGUGACAAAUGGAGGCCAAAGGCCCCAAAACCUGGUCCUAUCGUUAAACGAAGACCAGUCCCACUUACGCUUACUUGGGAUAGAAGCUAGCCAUAAGACCCUUGGCCAGGCUGGCUACAGCUCUAGUGAGAGCGAAGAGGUGAGGUCCCAGUCCCACCCAGGAGUGGACGACUUCAGAGGCUUUGAAGCUGAGAAAAAGGGUUCCAAAUCAUUGCGACAAAACCUUUUAGAGGUGAGAGCUGCAAAUCUAACAGUCAAAGUGAGGAGGUACCAGCUUCAGCCACAAUGGAUACAGACAUUUCCUCUUGUGAUCAGUCUGAAGGUGACAAAGGCUUGGUCCAAAUGCUAGGUUCGUCUUCUCAAACAGAGCCUGCUAAAGACUGUAAAAAGGAUCAAAACGGAAAAACACGAAAGACCGUCAGGCCACCAAACCUGCCGCAUCAGCGCCAAGGAUUACCAUAAAAUUGGUGGCUAAAAAGAAAACCAAAAAAGUAAAAGAGCUUCACAAAAAUCUUUGGAAACUUCAAAAGAAAAAGAACUUAAAGAUGUACCUGAAAUAAAGGACUUUGUGGACGAGCAGAUUUCCAGUGCACAUGUGAAAUUAAAACCUGAACCUGUUAAUGAAAACAAUAACACUGAAGAUAAGAGGGAAGAGUGUGUUCAAGUGAGAAGACGUGGAAGAUCUGCUGCCAAACCUGCAGAAACGGCAAAAAAGAACACCAAAGUUGUGGCAAGUGAACAAAAAACACCAACCAUAAUUCAGACAGAAUCUACUUGUGGCGAUGGAGCCACAGAUCCAAAAUUAACAACUGUAAAACACCAAGACAAUGCGAGAGAGUCCAGUUCGGAUGGUCAUCAACCUAGUACUCGCAGAAGCACUAGAGUCAAACCCCCAAUUUCUAAAAGCGUCACAGGCACUGUGACUGAACCAGCUAACUUGGUCAGUGUGGAGGUUGUUUCAACAGAUUCAAAGAUAAAUGAAGAGCUCAAAUCAACAACCCAAAACAAUAAGCGAAGGCAAAGUAAAAGGCUAAAUAAGGAUGUUCAUAAUCCAGACAUUCAGAAUCCAUUGACUGCAGAUGUAAAUGACACCACUGUGCAACCUACUGACUGUUUACAGUCUAAAGAAGAAACAGUUCCAAAAUUGAAAUUAUUACGGAUUAGAAAUCCUAAAUAUGAUGCUCAGGCCAGUGAAAAGAAUUUAACUAGAAAAGAAAAAAAGGAAAAGGUUCAUAUGGACUC
ensembl:lncRNA